GUGAAGCUGACUCUCUGCUGAGCAGGAAGCCUGACUCAAGACUCCAUUCCAGGAACUUGGGAUCAUGACCCGAGCUCAAGGCAGAUGCUUAACUGACUGAGCUACCCAAGUGCCCCUAGAGGUGUUGUUGUUAGGAUUCAACGAAAAUAAUAAUUGCUCAAUCUAAGUAAUGAAUCUAAAAGAAUGAAAAGGUCGCAUAUACAAAGGUGUUUAUUUUGUAAUCACUUAUAAUUUAAAACUUUGAAAGUCACUUCAGUGUCUGUCAGUAAGAGAUCCAUGAGGCAUAUUACCGAAUAGCCGUUUGGUGAAAUGUUUUGCAGCUAUUAAAUGAACACUUGUGAAGAUCCUGCAGCAAAAUAGAAUGAACAGAAGUUCCAAAUAGCAUAAAUUAAAAACAUAAAAAACCCCAAAUUUAUUAAUAGCAUGAUUAAAACAUAAAAUGGAAGUAUGAAAGAAAUAAGGAAGAGGAUCCCGACUGUGGGAAUGGGUUGUCGAGUUUUACAUCUUUUCUCUUGUUAAGUUUUUCUAUUCUGUUAUGAUAUUGCUUUUAUAAUUAAAAUGCAGUAGCUUUAUUAAUUACCCUUAGUUUUCCUAUUUAUGAAAGAAUCGUUACUUUAAAAAACCGAGCUAAUUCAGAAAACCAUGAAUAAUAAAAUGAAAAUUACCCUUAAUCCUGCCGUGUGUAUUUUAAUUUGCACUGCUGUAGUUUUUUCAAAAUUAGCCUUGCUUGGCUUCUGGUUUACCCCUUGGCCUGCUUCUCAGGCGGUGGCUUUUGCAUCUCCUCCUUGUCUUUGAUCUUUCCAGAUGAGCCUCUUCUCCCUCUUCCAGGAGCCGUGCAUGCCUGCUUUAUUGAGAACACCAGGAAGCCCUUUUUUUGAAAUGUUCUUGUGUCUCCUGUCAAAAAUGAUUUUGAGAGGUGAACUGUGGCCGCACAACUUCCAGAACUUGACCAGAGCAGAAAAGGUCCAGCUCGGUGAUGCAUCUCAAAGUGAGCCUGUGUGCGAUGACUGCUCCGAGGAAGCACUGGAUCUCUGCGAACAGUCUGGAAGCUGCUCUGAGACCCGUCCAGGCAGUGCCCUUCCUUCUUCCCAGAGGUGACUGUGAUCUCGACUCCCAGGAUGAUUACUUUUCUGCUUUUCUCUCCAAGCAAAGCACUGCAGCUUAGUUCUGCAUAUGUUUUGAGCUUUAUGUCCACGGAGUCCUACAGUACGUACUCUUCUGUGCGUAUCUUUUGUUGCUGAACGUUGUAGUCAUCAGUGUUGCUCCAUAGCUCUAGUCACUCAUUUUCAUCACUGCACAGAAU
rnacentral:lncRNA from 1 species